rnacentral:rRNA from 1 species
ACCGGCUAACUCCGUCGCCAGCAGCCGCGGUAAUACGGGAGGGUGCGAGCGUUAAGUCGGUAAAUUACGUGGGACGUAAAGCGCAUGCAGGCGGCCUGUUAAGUCAGAUGUAGAAAGGCCCGGGGACUUUAACCGUACGGUAAUUGCUAUUUAGAAACUGGCGAGGCUAGAGUCUUGUAGAGGGGGGUAGGAAUUUCAGGUGUAGCGGUGAAAUGCGUAGAGAUCUGAAGGAAUACCAGUGGCGAAGGCGGCCCCCUGGACAAAGACUGACGCUCAGAUGCGAAAGCGUGGGGAGCAAACAGGAUUAGAUACCCUGGUAG